GUCAUCUUGAACUUUUCAUAACUUAUAAUUUUAUGAUGCUUUCUGCUAAUCUAGGAAGCUGAACAUAUCUCAGCCAUCUUGUUUGUCAGCCAUUUUUACAAAUCCUGACAAAUCUAGGAGCCAAG